GGGGUGUGUUCUGUUAUUUGGAUAACUGUGGUAAUUCUAGAGCUAAUACAUGACAUAUGCGUUCAGCAAACGCUGGAUGUGCUUUUAUUAGUGUAAACCAAGUCUUCGGACGGAAGUGGUGACUCUGAAUAACUUUGCCGAGCAUUUAAGCUUUAUGCUGGUGCUAUUCCUUCAAAGUUUCUGCUCUAUCAACUGUCGAUGGUAUAUUAUAUGUUUACCAUGGUUGUAACGGGUGACGGGGAAUUAGGGUUCGAUUCCGGAGAGGGAGCCUGAGAAAUGGCUACCACAUCUAAGGAAGGCAGCAGGCGCGCAAAUUACCCAAUCCCGGCUCGGGGAGGUAGUGACAAUAAAUAACAAUGCGGGACUCUUUAGAGGCUUCGUAAUUGGAAUGAGUACAUUCUAAAUCCUUUAACGAGGAACAAUUGGAGGGCAAGUCUGGUGCCAGCAGCCGCGGUAAUUCCAGCUCCAAUAGCGUAUAUUAAAAUUGUUGCGUCUAAAAAGCUCGUAGUUUGAAAACUUGUCUUGGCGGAUUCUGAUUGGCUCUCUACAUGGGUCACUGUUCGCCGAGCACAAAUAUGGAUAGCUGUUCUUGCCGUCUUUACUGGCUGGCCUGAAUCGGUUGUCAAAUAUCACUUUGAUUAAAUUAGAGUGCUUAAAGCAAGUAAAUUUACUGGAAUAUAAAUGCAUGGAAUGAUGGAAUAUGUUAUUGUUCUAUUUGUUGGUUUUUGAACAAUAAAAUGAUUGAAAGGAACGGUUGGGGGCAUUCGUAUUGUUGUGAGAGAGGUGAAAUUCUUAGACCACAGCAAGACGAACUACUGCGAAAGCAUUUGCCAAGAAUGUUUUCAUUGAUCAAGAACGAAAGUUAGAGGUUCGAAGGCGAUCAGAUACCGCCCUAGUUCUAACCAUAAACUAUGCCAACUAGCAAUUUGCUUACGUAUGUUUAUGACUAGGUGAGAGGCCACGGGAAACCAAAGUAGGGUUAUGGGGGAAGUAUGGUUGCAAAGCUGAAACUUAAAGGAAUUGACGGAAGGGCACCACCAGGAGUGGAGCCUGCGGCUUAAUUUGACUCAACACGGGAAAACUUACCUGGUCCUGACACUGGAAGGAUUGACAGAUUGAUAGCUCUUUCUUGAUUUGGUGGAUGGUGGUGCAUGGCCGUUCUUAGUUGGUGGAGUGAUUUGUCUGGUUAAUUCCGAUAACGAACGAGACUCUAGCCUGUUAAAUAACGCUGAAGAUCUUGUCUCUUGCGGCGUUUCUUAAUGGGAUCAAGUGUGUUUAACACUUUGAAACAGAGCAAUAACAGGUCUGUGAUGCCCUUAGAUGUCCGGGGCCGCACGCGCGCUACAUUGAAAGACAAAAUAAGUAUUUCUAGCCUUUAACGAGGAUAGUAAUCUUUUAAUGUUUUUCAUAAUGGGGAUAGGGGAUUGCAAUUGUGCCCCUUGAACGAGGAAUUCCCAGUAAGUGCUAGUCAUCAGCUAGUACUGAUUACGUCCCUGCCCUUUGUACACACCGCCCGUCGCUACUACCGAUUGAAUGGUUUAGUGAGAUCAUCCGAGCAGAUGCGUAGACACGUUGUCGUGUAUACGACGUUUGCGAAGAAGAUCAAACUUGAU
rnacentral:rRNA from 1 species